AGUGGGAUAGCUGGGUUAAAUGGUGGUUCUGCUCCAAGUGUUCUAAAUAAUCUCCAUACUGUUUUCCAGAUUGGUCGCACCAAUUUGCAGUCCCAUAAGCAAU
rnacentral:pre_miRNA from 1 species